rnacentral:rRNA from 1 species
CACGUAGGGUGCGAGCGUCGUCCGGAAUUAUUGGGCGUAAAGAGCUCGUAGGCGGUGUGUCGCGUCGGCCGUGAAAACCUGCAGCUUAACUGUGGGCUUGCGGUCGAUACGGGCAUCACUGGAGUUCGGCAGGGGAGACUGGAAUUCCUGGUGUAGCGGUGAAAUGCGCAGAUAUCAGGAGGAACACCGGUGGCGAAGGCGGUUCUCUGGGCAUGUCCUGACGCUGAGGAGCGAAAGUGUGGGGAGCGAACAGG